rnacentral:rRNA from 1 species
AGAGUUUGAUCCUGGCUCAGAGUGAACGCUGGCGGCGUGCUUAACACAUGCAAGUCGAACGAGAACGGGUUAUAGCUUGCUAUAACUGUCAGCUAAGUGGCGCACGGGUGAGUAAUAUAUAGGUAAUGUGCCUUAGAGAAGAGAAUAAUUGUUGGAAACGACUUGUAAUGCUCUAUAUGCCCUUAAUACAAAAGUAUGCAGGGGAAAUAUUUAUAGCUCUAAGAUCGGCCUGUACGGUAUCAGCUUGUUGGUGAGGUAAUGGCUCACCAAGGCUAUGACGCCUAACUGGUUUGAGAGGAUGAUCAGUCACACUGGAACUGAGACACGGUCCAGACUCCUACGGGAGGCAGCAGUGGGGAAUAUUGCACAAUGGACGAAAGUCUGAUGCAGCAACGCCGCGUGGAGGAUGACACAUUUCGGUGCGUAAACUCCUUUUAUAUGAGAAGAAAAUGACGGUAUCAUAUGAAUAAGCGCCGGCUAACUCCGUGCCAGCAGCCGCGGUAAUACGGAGGGCGCAAGCGUUACUCGGAAUCACUGGGCGUAAAGAGCGUGUAGGCGGGUAUUUAAGUUGGAAGUGAAAUCCUAUGGCUCAACCAUAGAACUGCAUUGGAAACUGGUACCCUUAGAGUAUGGGAGGGGGGAGAUGGAAUUAGUGGGUGUAGGGGUAAAAUCCGUAGAUAUCACUAGGAAUACCGAAAGCGAAGGCGAUCUCCUGGAACAAUACUGACGCUAAGGCGUGAAAGCGUGGGGGAGCAAACGGGAUUAGAUACCCCGGUAGUCCACGCCCUAAACGAUGUUCACUAGUCGUCGGGAUGCUAGUCAUCUCGGUGAUGCACUUAACAGAUUAAGUGAACCGCCUGGGGAGUACGGUCGCAAGAUUAAAACUCAAAGGAAUAGACGGGGACCCGCACAAGUGGUGGAGCAUGUGGUUUAAUUCGACGAUACGCGAAGAACCUUACCUGGCCUUGACAUAGAAAGAAUUUAGCAGAGAUGUAAAAGUGCUAGUUUACUAGAGCUUUCAUACAGGUGCUGCACGGCUGUCGUCAGCUCGUGUCGUGAGAUGUUAGGUUAAGUCCUGCAACGAGCGCAACCCUCGUGUUUAGUUACUAACAGUUCGGCUGAGGACUCUAGACAUACUGCCUGGGCAACCAGGAGGAAGGUGAGGACGACGUCAAGUCAUCAUGGCCCUUACGGCCAGGGCUACACACGUGCUACAAUGGGGUAUACAAAGAGCCGCAAUACCGCGAGGUGGAGCAAAUCUCAUAAAAUAUCUCCCAGUUCGGAUUACACUCUGCAACUCGAGUGUAUGAAGUUGGAAUCGCUAGUAAUCGUAGAUCAGCAAUGCUACGGUGAAUACGUUCCCGGGUCUUGUACUCACCGCCCGUCACACCAUGGGAGUUGAAUUCAUUCGAAGCGGGGAUGCUAAAAUAGCUACCUUCCACAGUGGAUUUAGUAACUAGGGUGAAGUCGUAACAAGGUAACC